rnacentral:rRNA from 1 species
UACGACGGGGGCUAGCGUUGCUCGGAAUCACUGGGCGUAAAGGGCGCGUAGGCGGCCAUUCAAGUCAGGGGUGAAAGCCUGUGGCUCAACCACAGAAUUGCCUUUGAUACUGUUUGGCUAGAGACCGGAAGAGGUAAGUGGAACUGCGAGUGUAGAGGUGAAAUUCGUAGAUAUUCGCAAGAACACCAGUGGCGAAGGCGGCUUACUGGUCCGGUUCUGACGCUGAGGCGCGAAAGCGUGGGGAGCAAACAGG